UGUGUCACUUUCCAUCAAUCAUCAUAUUGCAAUUUUAUAGCUUGUUAUUUAGAUUAGAGUUUUCUCUGGUAAUAUUGAUGUUUGUAAAAAAGGACUGUCUGUUAGUAAUUUUUUGUUGGUUUUGAUUUUUGAGCACAACAGUGCUUAUUUUACAUGACAGUUUCUUCUUGUAAGUGCUGGCCUUUUGUACUUAUGCUACAUGAUGGCUACUUCUCGUAGUCUCGCUGUUGAUUGAUGUUUUUGUAGCUAUGCCGAGGCUGAUCCAUCUGAAAGGAGUUAUAAAAGGAAAAAGAAGGAAUUUGAACCACCUGAGCGAGUUCAGAAAUGCCGUAAAGCAGAGUAUUCAGCUCCUACAGUACUAAUGGUUGAUGGAGCUUCUAUCCAAGUUAGAAGUUAGUCGUAUGGGAAGUUAAAGUCGGCUUUUCAGAAUCAAAUAUUCAGAGUUUAGAUUCUUCACUCUGCGCGCUAUGUCUGGUUGAAUGUUAAUUUCGUUAUUGUAUGUAUUUGAUUCAUUUGUGCUGUUGACAUCAGGUUAGAGUUAAUACACGACUUCUUUAUCAGCAAACCAAAUUCAACCUUCUCAGAGAAGAGAGCGAGGGCUAUGCCAAAUUGGCUGCUUUAUUUGAUAAAUGAAGGUAGUGGUUAAUUGGAAUUUGGAAGAGAAAUGCAUAUGAACGUGUGGAUUCAAAGGACUUUCAGUUUGUGUCGAUUCGAAUAUGUCAUGGGCUGGCCGUUCGAUUGAACACUCCUGUACUGAUGUGCACUAAAUUAUGCAGGUUAACCGAUGGUUGUCAAGUUGUGGUUAUAAGCUUUAGUAUGAGAUUCGAAUAUUCUUCGGAGGCCCUGAUGAUAAUGAAGCACUUGCUUACGGUAUGAGAAUAGCCGAACAUCCUGACAUUGUGCUAACUGUUGUUAAAUUUGUGUAUCCACCCGGAACAACAUUAUCAUUCGGCGCUAAGUUAGUCGGUGUUGCAUCGGUAGAAUAUACUAUGUUAGGAAGAAUGUAAAUAGGUUAACAGUUGAUUGUAUAUUAUCAAAGAAUGUAAAUAGGUUAACUGGUGAUUGUAUGUUAUCAUUUCAUCAUUAAUUUUUUUACUGAGGUGCUUUUGAAUUUUCAUUUGUAUCAUAUUUCCAAACAAUGAUAUUAUUAUUAUUAUUAUUAUUAU